rnacentral:tRNA from 1 species
GGGGAUUUAGCUCAGUGGCAUAAGCACCUGCCUUACAAGCAGGCGGUCGUGAAUUUGAUCCCCG